UUACGGGAGGCAGCAGUGAGGAAUAUUGGGCAAUGGGGGAAACCCUGAUCUAGCCAUGCCGCGUGGACGAUGAAGGCCCUAGGGUUGUAAAGUCCUUUCAGCUGGGAAGAUAAUGACGGUACCAGCAGAAGAAGCCCCGGCUAACUCCGUGCCAGCAGCCGCGGUAAUACGGAGGGGGCUAGCGUUGUUCGGAAUUACUGGGCGUAAAGCGCACGUAGGCGGACUGGAAAGUUAGGGGUGAAAUCCCGGGGCUCAACCCCGGAACUGCCCUUAAAACUAUCAGUCUGGAGUUCGAGAGAGGUGAGUGGAAUUCCGAGUGUAGAGGUGAAAUUCGUAGAUAUUCGGAGGAACACCAGUGGCGAAGGCGGCUCACUGGCUCGAUACUGACGCUGAGGUGCGAAAGCGUGGGGAGCAAACAGGAUUAGAUACCCGGGUAGUCC
rnacentral:rRNA from 1 species